CACGUAGGCACCAAGCGUUGUCCGGAUUUAUUGGGCGUAAAGAGCUCGUAGGCGGUCUGUCGCGUCGGCUGUGAAAUCCCGAGGCUCAACCCCGGGUCUGCAGUCGAUACGGGCAAACUAGAGUAUUGCAGGGGAGACUGGAAUUCCUGGUGUAGCGGUGAAAUGCGCAGAUAUCAGGAGGAACACCGGUGGCGAAGGCGGG
rnacentral:rRNA from 1 species